UAAUGAAAUGGUUAUAAAACAAAAAAAAUAAAAAAGAAAUUUUAUUAAAAAAUGAUGGCCAAUUAAAUGGCCUUGUUAAGUUAUCUUAUAAAAAUAUGUUGAAAGAUAAAGAAAUAAAAAUAAAAUUUGAACCGUCUAAUUUUAUUUUAAAAUCGAAAGAAAAACAAAUUGUAAAUGUUAUUAUAUAUUCAAAAGUACCACAAAAAUAUGAAUCAAUUAUAACAUGUUCUAUCAUUGAAAUACCAAAAAGGGUAGAAAAAAAAAUUAAUUACGAGUUAGAAAAAAAAGUUACUUUUGAAUCUGAAAUAAAAAAAAACAAUUUACAAACAACUAUUAAUCCUUAUGAAACAAAAAAAAAACAGAAAAUGAAGAAAAUUUUGUAUCAAAAAUAAUUAAAAUAUUAAACAAAGAAAAUAUACAAGUCUGUUUAAUAAAAAAACAGAUUAACGCACAUAUGAUUUUUGUUUUACCACAUAUUAUUAUUUUGUGUGACCAAAAUAAGGAAAUUUUUAAUAAAGAUAUAAUCAAUUUUGGGAAUAUAACAUUAGGCCAAAAAAUAACUAAAACGUUUUUUUUUGAAAAAUUUGACAAAUGCUCCAAUUAACGUAGUGGUAAUCUUUUUUUGUGCGCCUGUGGACGAUAUAUAUACGUGGUUAUGCAUGUACAAAAGGUAGUAGUAAAAUACUAAGGUGUGGUAUAUCUUUGGUUUCUCCCCCACCUUAUAUUUACUUAUUCUGUUUUUUUUUUUUUCAUCUAUGUUACAUUUAUUCCUCAUUCUUUUUUUUUUUUUUUUUUUUUUUUUUUUUUCUUUUUCUUUUUAAGGCCAAAAAACAAAAAGGGAACAGCGUUUUUACAUUUCCCAUCGAUAAAUUAACAUUAAAAGAAAAAAGUACAGAAGCCGUUUCGAUUAAUGUUAACGGCAAUAAUCCUGUUAGUAAUUAUACAGAAGUAAUUCGAUUUAAAGCAUGUAACGAUUAUUCUAUUGAACUUUUUUUAUUAUGUGAAAUUAAAAAUAUAAAAUUGGUUUUACAGAAGACUUUAUAUAUAUUUGAAAAUACCAAAAUAGGAGAUACAAUAAAUGAAAAAAUAGUAAUAAGAAAUGAUGAAGAUACAGACUUAGAUGUAGAAAUUAUAAAUUCAGGAUAUUUUUUUUAUAUAAAAAAUAAAAAAUUUAUAAUAAAAAAAAAUAGUUUUCAUUCUAUAUAUCUAGUAUGUAAUUGUAUUUAUCCAAUCAAUGUAUAUAAAAGAAUAUAUUUUUUAGUACAUUUAAAUAAAAAAAUAUUUUAUAUAGAUGUUAUUUGUAACUUUUCUAUAAGUUAUAAAAUGCCUCCUUUGUCUAUUCAUCACAUAUAUAGAUAUAAAAAUUUAAUUCAUGACAAAAAUAUAGUAUACAAUUCAUAUUAUGAAAAAAAUGAGUAUAUUGAUAUAUGGGAUUUUCCAGUCGAGUUUGAUUCGUAUGAAGAUACUACAUACGAGUUGCUGAAUGAUAUAUUGGAAAUAAGUGAAAAAGACGUAUUUGCAGUACCUAAAGAAUUAGAAGUACAAGAAAUGGAAGAAAAAGAUUUAAUGUUAAUAAAUAAAACGCCAGUUGAAUAUACAUGUGUAUGGUUAAAUGCAGUUGAUAAACAGGAGCAGGGAACUUUUGAAGUAACUCCUAAAGAAGCACCGUUGUUGCCAUUCGGCUAUCAAAAAUUUAGGUACAUUUAUAUAUAUAUAUAUAUAUAUAUAUAUAUAUAUAUAACUAUGUUUGUUCUUAUAUGUAUGUGCAUAUUUUAUUUUGUCCUGUAUAUUUAAUCCUAUUUUCAGUUAUACAUGCUAACCCUUUUUUUUUUUUUUUUUUUUUUUUUUUAAGAGUAAAAAACAUAAAAGGUUUAAAAAAAAAAUAUGUAUGUGAAGUAUACGAAUGUAUUGUGUUUCCGUCUAAUAACAAAGACUAUACGAAAUGUAACAGCAAGACAUUAUUAGCACCUUUUUUUAUAUAUGCUACUUUUUUUCAAUUUAAUACAAAAUAUAUAUGUGAAACAGAAAACGUGCAAGACAGUUUAGUUUUUUAUCCAAAAAAAUAUAUCCUUUUUAAAUAUAAUUGAGGAAGAAUAUAGUUAUGCUAUUGUCAAAUUUGAAAAUAACUCAGAAGUUACUCAAAUUAUUGAUUUCACUCCAUAUAAAAUGAAGCCGAAAGCAUAAAGUAGUAACCGG
ensembl:lncRNA